GAUGAACGCUGGCGGCGUGCUUAACACAUGCCAGUCGAACGAUGAAGCCCAGCUUGCUGGGUGGAUUAGUGGCGAACGGGUGAGUAACACGUGAGUAACCUGCCCUUAACUCUUGGAUAAGCCUGGGAAACUGGGUCUAAUACCGGAUAGGAGCGCCUACCGCAUGGUGGGUGUUGGAAAGAUUUAUCGGUUUUGGAUGGACUCGCGGCCUAUCAGCUUGUUGGUGAGGUAAUGGCUCACCAAGGCGACGACGGGUAGCCGGCCUGAGAGGGUGACCGGCCACACUGGGACUGAGACACGGCCCAGACUCCUACGGGAGGCAGCAGUGGGGAAUAUUGCACAAUGGGCGAAAGCCUGAUGCAGCGACGCCGCGUGAGGGAUGACGGCCUUCGGGUUGUAAACCGCUUUCAGUAGGGAAGAAGCGAAAGUGACGGUACCUGCAGAAGAAGCACCGGCUAACUACGUG
rnacentral:rRNA from 1 species